ensembl:lncRNA
ACGCAGGAUCUUUUAGUUGCAGCAUGGGAGAGCUAGUUCCCUGACCUGGAAUCGAACCCAGUGCCCUUGCUUUGAGAGCACAGUCUCAGCCCCUGGACCAGGGGAGUCUCCUCCAUCCAGUCUUUAAUCACAUGUCACCUUCUUACGGAGGCUUUCCCUGGCCAUCUUACAGGGGCAGCCCUGUUCCCUCCACAGCCCAGUUCAUUCACCACCCCGUUUGUUUCUCUCCCUUGUACUUCUCACGACCAACUAGAGGAUCGACUUUCUCAAAUGCUGUUCCCAGUACAUGCCCUGCACCCACUACAGGCCUAACGAGUAGUUCGUCAUUGGAUAAAAUCCAUGCACGCAUCCUGUCGUGUGGGAAGCAGAAUUACAUCCCCUCCCAAAGACAUGCACGUCCUAAUCCCCAGAACCACUGCAUUAGGUGGCAAGGCAAACAAAGGCUAAUUAAGGUAACAGAUGGAAUUAAGUUUGCCAAUCAGCUGACCUUCAAACAGGGAGAGAGAGUAGCCUGGAUUAUCCAGGUGGACCCAGGAUCACAAGAUGCUUCCUUGUGGGAGAGGAAGGUAGGGAGAGAGCCAGGGAGACUGGACAAAGGACUCAGCCGGAGCCGCUUGCUUUGAAGAUGGAGGAAGGAGCCCCGAGUUAAAGAUUCCUGUGGCCUCUAGAAACUGGAAAAGGCAAGGUCGAGUCUCCCAGAAAACCUCCAGAAGGAACGCUGCCUUGAGGACGACCUUGACUUCAGCCCAGUGAGACACACUCCAGACUUCCGACCUCCAGACGCGCCUUGGGAGAGCUGUUGGGAAGUUGAAACGAGACAGGAAACGGAAAUGGCCGGUCCUUAAACACUUGCAGUACCCUGGCCCCAUCCUGGAUUCCAAACACAGAGGCAUAGGCUGAACCAAGAUUCAAAGCAGCUUUGCUGACUCGGAAGCCCCAAGCCCGGUUCUCACCUUGGUUCGCGGCCAGGCUGCCCACAGGCCCCCUCUCAGCAGUCCCAGCGGACUGGAAUGUAGGGGAAGGGUGAGAGGAGCAGCAGCCUGCACGCCGGGCCCCACUGCCCAAGCAUGGACCUUGGUCUCUGCCGCCCAGGGCCAGCGAGCAAGCAGGAGCGGACCAGCGAGGCCCCGUCAGAGGGGCUGGAGAGGCUGCCAGUGCUGGGUGGGAAGAAGGCCAGUGGGAGGGCAGUGAUGCAGGAGGUCAGGGAGGAACCAGGAGUGAGGAGACUGAGGCCAGAGGUGGGCCAGAGGGCUGCCCCAGGCCCCCAGGCCUCUCCAAGUCUCAGUUUCCAUAACACAGAGGUUGGCGCCGGAGAAGGGGGAUGGGGAGUACAAAGGAAUGGUCUCUCUGGGCCUUUUGCCAUCACCACUCCGCACGGUCCCUGUGGCCCAGGAGGAACGACUCUCUCUCCACAGCAGCUGUGAAGGCCCUGAGCUGGCUCCACCCACACCCACCAGUUUGCUGGGGGCCCUUGACUGCAUCAAAGAGCCCAACCCCUGCCCUGCAUUUUUUUUUUUUUUACGUGUGUCCAUUUAUUGAUUGCUGGGAAUACAGCUUAUUGAGAA